rnacentral:rRNA from 1 species
GCUUACGGCCAUAACCAACUGGCUAUGCCCGAAUCUCGUCUGAUCUCGGAAGCUAAAGCAGGUUUGGGCCUGGUUAGUACUUGGAUGGGAAGACUGCCUGGGAAUACCAGGUGCUGUAAGCU